GGGCGUUAAGUUGCAGGGUAUAGACCCGAAACCCGGUGAUCUAGCCAUGGGCAGGUUGAAGGUUGGGUAACACUAACUGGAGGACCGAACCGACUAAUGUUGAAAAAUUAGCGGAUGACUUGUGGCUGGGGGUGAAAGGCCAAUCAAACCGGGAGAUAGCUGGUUCUCCCCGAAAGCUAUUUAGGUAGCGCCUCGUGAAUUCAUCUCCGGGGGUAGAGCACUGUUUCGGCAAGGGGGUCAUCCCGACUUACCAACCCGAUGCAAACUGCGAAUACCGGAGAAUGUUAUCACGGGAGACACACGGCGGGUGCUAACGUCCGUCGUGAAGAGGGAAACAACCCAGACCGCCAGCUAAGGUCCCAAAGUCAUGGUUAAGUGGGAAACGAUGUGGGAAGGCCCAGACAGCCAGGAUGUUGGCUUAGAAGCAGCCAUCAUUUAAAGAAAGCGUAAUAGCUCACUGGUCGAGUCGGCCUGCGCGGAAGAUGUAACGGGGCUAAACCAUGCACCGAAGCUGCGGCAGCGACACUGUGUGUUGUUGGGUAGGGGAGCGUUCUGUAAGCCUGUGAAGGUGUGCUGUGAGGUAUGCUGGAGGUAUCAGAAGUGCGAAUGCUGACAUAAGUAACGAUAAAGCGGGUGAAAAGCCCGCUCGCCGGAAGACCAAGGGUUCCUGUCCAACGUUAAUCGGGGCAGGGUGAGUCGACCCCUAAGG
rnacentral:rRNA from 1 species